rnacentral:rRNA from 1 species
GAUGAACGCUAGCUACAGGCUUAACACAUGCAAGUCGAGGGGCAGCAUGAACUUAGCUUGCUAAGUUUGAUGGCGACCGGCGCACGGGUGAGUAACACGUAUCCAACCUGCCGAUGACUCGGGGAUAGCCUUUCGAAAGAAAGAUUAAUACUUGAUGGCAUAACCUGGUCUCCUGACUUGGUUAUUAAAGAAUUUCGGUUGAAGAUGGGGAUGCGUUCCAUUAGGCAGUUGGCGGGGUAACGGCCCACCAAACCUACGAUGGAUAGGGGUUCUGAGAGGAAGGUCCCCCACAUUGGAACUGAGACACGGUCCAA